UACGUAGGGGGCGAGCGUUGUCCGGAUUUAUUGGGCGUAAAGAGCUCGUAGGCGGUUCGAUAAGUCGGACGUGAAAUCUCCACGCUCAACGUGGAGGGGCCGUUCGAUACUGCCGGACUAGAGUUCGGAAGAGGCGAGUGGAAUUCCCGGUGUAGCGGUGAAAUGCGCAGAUAUCGGGAGGAACACCUAUGGCGAAGGCAGCUCGCUGGGACGUUACUGACGCUGAGACGCGAAAGCGUGGGGAGCAAACAGG
rnacentral:rRNA from 1 species